rnacentral:rRNA from 1 species
GACAGAGGGUGCAAGCGUUGUUCGGAAUUACUGGGCGUAAAGGGCGCGUAGGCGGUCCGCUAAGUUCGGCGUGAAAUCCCCUGGCUCAACUGGGGAACGGCGCUGGAUACUGGUGGACUCGAGUACCGGAGAGGAGAGUGGAAUUCCUGGUGUAGCGGUGAAAUGCGCAGAUAUCAGGAGGAACACCGAUGGCGAAGGCAGGUCUCUGGGCAUUAACUGACGCUGAGGAGCGAAAGCAUGGGGAGCGAACAGG